UGCUUCAUAGGUGGAAAUUCACUCCCAUGAAUUCUGGUCUGAUUUUACUUUACCCCCUUCAUUUUGUUUUAGUGCCUGCAAGAGUUUCAUUUGAAUUCACUCUUCUCUUCAGCCUUAGCACGAAGCUGCACUACAUGAAGAGAGAUCCUGAUAAUUUUGAAAUAGGAUUGAUCUUCUUUGAAAUGAAAAUCCAAUUUUAAAACUGACUGAAGGCCGAUCCUAAAAUAAAGAAUGUGUAUCGUCAAUCAGCACAUAGCAAACAGCACUACUGUAUUUCUAAUAAUUCAGGCCAGAACAGCGGGGCUGGGGGCCCACAAAAGGAAGGUGAGCCAGGAGCAUCCGAUGGUGGCUUUCCAGAGAGGGUCUGAGGACCAUGUGAAGAAGGUGAAUUGGUGGCCCCCUGGGGGGAGGGAGGUGGUCCACGUGAGGAAGACCUAAGGCCUAGAACCUCAGCUCUGCUUUCACCAGCUGCAUGGCUGUGAGCAAGACACUUUUUCUGAGGCGCAGCUUCUCUGUCAAUAAACUAAGUGACUGGCCUACA
rnacentral:lncRNA from 1 species